CAAAAGGACGCUGAGUGAGCCAAGUUUGAAUAGGCUGUUACUUUAAUGAAGAAGUAAUAGGGAAUCUGGCCAUCUGGAGGGUGUGGCAGUUACUUUGAAAAGAAGCUCUAAUUUGCAUAAGCAAGUACUGAAUGAGGGAAUUUUGGAUUCAGAUGUCUGUGGAAUGGCUCUGCUGGUUUGGAGCCUUAGGCAGCACUGCAAUGAAUGCUGCUGCACACGCUGUUGAGCUCGUGGACACUUUCCUGCUGGGUGAGGACCCGAACGUGAAAUUGCUGGGUCAUGGAUUCAAGUGCUACACAUAUUUUUGACCACAUUACUGUGACUCAGGAAGCCCAGGAACAGAAUUCUAGGCACCAGAACCAUACAUGUUACAGCCUCUGAGCUUUAUGGCCUCUGAGCCAUUUGUCCAGCCACAUCAUUUGCAGAUGAGAUCCUGAGACUCAGGCUGGAAAAGUGACCGGGGAAAAGUCACACAAGUCAGAGGCAGAGCUGGAGUUUCCUCAUUUCCAGGCCCGUAUAGAUCAAGACGGACGUUGGUCAAACACCUCCUAGUACUCACAUGAAGAAGCUCUCCUUUCUGCUGUAGGAAUGAUCACACACCAUUCCAAUCUGGAUACCAAAUGUCAUUGUUUAUUAAAUGUGUGCAGUGUGCCAGGCAUAUUGUGUCAUAUGUUUACAUGUGUCAUAUAUUUACAUUACAUAUGAUCGCUGGUUCUUACAACAACCCUUCAAGACAGGUCAUAUCAAGCCCAUUUUUCAGACGGGAAAAAGAGCUCAGAGGGGAUGAUUAGCUUGUUCAGGUUUUCCAGUUUCCUUAGGAAGUGGCAGAGCUGGAUCUGAACUCUGCUUGUGACUACUUGGGGGAUGGAGGAGUGAACUCCUUUUUAUCAGAUCCUGGCUGCUUCGGCACCAGAAGAAUGCUUCUUCCCCCUCAGGCCCUGGGGGGUUCCUCUAAAGAAUAGAGACUCCCGGCUUUCCAUGAGACAAAAAGCAGGCAAUUCAACACGGCAAGCCCUUAAUAUACCUGCACGUUUCUCUGUAAGGACUGAUUUAGAAAGCGGACUCACAGCCACUGCACUGAUAGCAGUUUCUAUUCUAAAACCUAUGGAAAUUGUGAACACUUGCCCCCAAAAACUCUCCCAGAAACCUUUAGGACAGUGAGGCUGUGUUCAGAAACUAAUUGCACCCAUAUCUGAGGAGCUACCACAUGAACUUCAUUAUUCACAGAA
rnacentral:lncRNA from 10 species